rnacentral:rRNA from 1 species
GACGAACGCUGGCGGCGUGCUUAACACAUGCAAGUCGAACGAAGUGGUGAACGGGUGAGUAACGCGUAAUCAACCUGCCCUUCAGAGGGGGACAACAGUUGGAAACGACUGCUAAUACCGCAUACUGAAGGAGGGGAUUGCGUCGGAUUAGCUAGUUGGGGGGGUAACGGCCCACCAAGGCGAAGAUCAGUAGCCGGUCUGGGAGGAUGGACGGCCACAUUGGGACCGGGACACGGCCCCGACUCCUACGGGAGGCAACAGUUGGGGAUCUUCCGCAAUGGACGAAAGUCUGACGGAGCAACGCCGCGUGAGUGAUGACGGGCUUCGGGUUGUAAAGCUCUGUUAAUCGGGACGCGGUACCGGAAUAGAAAGCCACGGCUAACUACGUGCCAGCAGCCGCGGUAAUUC